rnacentral:rRNA from 1 species
GACGAACGCUGGCGGCGCGCUUAGCACAUGCAAGUCGAACGGAAAGGCCUGCUUUCCCUUGUGGAUUGCGGGUACUCGAGUGGCGAACGGGUGAGUAACACGUGAGUGAUCUGCCCCCAACUUGGGUAUAAGCCUGGGAAACUGGGUCUAAUUCCCGAUAGGACUGCAGGGUGGUGCCUGUGGUGGAAAACGAUUUUCUAGUGGUUGGGGAUGAGCUCGCGGCCUAUCAGCUUGUUGGUGGGGUAAUGGCCUACCAAGGCGGCGACGGGUAGCCGGCCUGGGAGGGUGGACGGCCACAUUGGGACUGAGAUACGGCCCAGACUCCUACGGGAGGCAGCAGUGGGGAAUAUUGCACAAUGGGCGGAAGCCUGAUGCAGCGACGCCGCGUGGGGGAUGACGGCCUUCGGGUUGUAAACUCCUUUCGACCGCGAGGAAGCCACCUGGUUGGAAGGGUGGUGACGGUAGUGGUAGAAGAAGCACCGGCUAACUACGUG